GAUGAACGCUGGCGGCGUGCCUAAUACAUGCAAGUCGAGCGAACAGACGAGGAGCUUGCUCCUCUGACGUUAGCGGCGGACGGGUGAGUAACACGUGGAUAACCUACCUAUAAGACUGGGAUAACUUCGGGAAACCGGAGCUAAUACCGGAUAAUAUAUUGAACCGCAUGGUUCAAUAGUGAAAGACGGUUUUGCUGUCACUUAUAGAUGGAUCCGCGCCGCAUUAGCUAGUUGGUAAGGUAACGGCUUACCAAGGCAACGAUGCGUAGCCGACCUGAGAGGGUGAUCGGCCACACUGGAACUGGGACACGGGCCAGACUCCUACGGGAGGCAGCAGUAGGGAAUCUUCCGCAAUGGGCGAAAGCCUGACGGAGCAACGCCGCGUGAGUGAUGAAGGUCUUCGGAUCGUAAAACUCUGUUAUUAGGGAAGAACAAAUGUGUAAGUAACUAUGCACGUCUUGACGGUACCUAAUCAGAAAGCCACGGCUAACUACGUGCCAGCAGCCGCCGUAA
rnacentral:rRNA from 1 species